AAGCUCGUAGUUGAAUUUCGGGAUUAGUACGUGGUCGUGCCUUAGGUACGUACUGGUGUUACUGGUUCCUACCUUCUGACGAACCAUCAUGUCAUUAAUUUGGUGUGGUGGGGAAUCAGGACAGUUACUUUGAAAAAAUUAGAGUGUUUAAAGCAGGCUCGCGCUUGAAUACAUUAGCAUGGAAUAAUGAAAUAGGACGUUGAUCCUAUUUUGUUGGUUUCUAGGAUUGACGUAAUGAUUAAUAGGGAUAGUUGGG
rnacentral:rRNA from 1 species